rnacentral:rRNA from 1 species
GUGCACCAGUCGAGAAAACUUUACAAUGUGCGAAAGCACGAUAAGGGAACUCUGAGUGCCGUCCUAAGGAGGCUGUUCGGGUGUCUAAAAAGCACCUGAAGGAAGGGCUGGGUAAGACCGGUGCCAGCCGCCGCGGUAACACCGGCAGCCCAAGUGGUAGCCACGUUUAUUGGGUCUAAAAGCGUCCGUAGCCGGCUGGGGUAAGUUCCUUGGGAAAUUUGGCUGCUUAAACAGUCAAGCUUUCAGGGAAUACUGCUCGGCUUGGGACCGGGAGAGGUCAGAGGUACUCCAGGGGUAGGGGUGAAAAUCCAUUAAUCCUUGGGGGACCACCGGUAGCGAAGGC